GGUUUUGGGUUCAGCCUUAUACCCAGUGCGAA
rnacentral:scRNA from 1 species